rnacentral:rRNA from 1 species
AUUGAACGCUGGCGGCAUGCCUAACACAUGCAAAUCGAACGAGUGGCGGACGGGUGAGUAACGUGGGGGACACCGCCUGAUGGAGGGGGGCAACUACCGGUAACGGUAGCUGAUACCGCCUGCCAUCGGAAGUGCCCAUGUGGGAUUCGCUAGGAGGUUGGGAAAAGGCUCACCUAGGCGACGAUCUCUAGCUGGUCUGAGAGGAUGAACAGCACACCUGGAACGGCGACGCGGUCCAGACUCCUACGUGAGGUACCAGUGGGGUAUUUUGCACAAUGUUCGCACGCCUGAUGCAGCCAUGCCGCCUGUACGACGACGCCCCUCGUGUUGUAAAGUACUUCCAUCUGGGAGGCGUUACCCGCAGACGAAGCACCGGCUAACUCCGUGCCAGCCGCCGCGGUAAUUC